rnacentral:lncRNA from 1 species
GAGAGUUAAAGAUCCACGGAGGCAGAAGAACCCUAGUAGGCCUUCUAGACCUCUGUUCACUGGGAAUCUUAUUUCCUAUAGGCCUGUCAUUGGCCAGGUGGUCGACCUGAAGGCCUCUUUGGACCUCUUGACUGAUGUCAGAGUUGCAGUCGAUGCCCAGACUGGCGCCCCCAGAGUGAUCAUAGGAAAAUGCAGCAGUGACCCAGACAGCAUCUCACGCACCGUGCUGGACAGAUCGAUGCCCAGCGUCCCUUGUAGCAUCUCCAUCUGGGAAGGUGCAGCCAUGCCCCAAGCAGAGCGAUAGCCUGAGUGCAGCCAGAAGGGGCUCUCCCAGAGACUCCUCCUCGAAGUCGGUACAGCAGCCUCUGUGCUCACCACCCUCCACCCCCUGCAACUAAAGACCACUUCGGCACCCUCUUGUGUGGCCCAUUUUAUUCCCUCCAUUGGGAUUGGGGGAGGGCAACGAGGUGGUAGAGACCUGGGUGGGAGCUGGAAGGGACCUCUGGGACGAUCCAGCUUGUUUUACAAAUUGGAACACUGACACACAGAGAGGGCAAGAGACUGACCCAGGGUCACACAGCCAGUUGGUGGCAGUGGCAGGCUCUUGAUUCAUCCAUUCACAUGCUCAGCAGGCAUUCAGUGAGGGCCUACUCUGGGCCAGGCAGGCAGUAGGAAUAGACAGUCACACUUUGGGUAACCCCACCCAGGGCUUUCCUCCCUUCCCCUCAGGGAGUCCUCAGGGACUCUGAGAGGUCUUAUGGAGGAUGGGGGACACCGGGUCUGUGGGCUCAGGAGUAUAGGGCAGAGUACCAUAGGGUCAGGGGCCUGGGCCACUUCCCAGCCUGCCCCUCUGUGCCCUCUGAAAGGCUAGGGUUCCCCUGCAACGGAGAUCAAUUCAAGCAGCACCUGAGGACACCCAUGGUCUCACGACACCAGGGCUCACCCACCCAGCCCUGAGAGCCUGUGGGCCCACUGGCCAGGCUGCACAAGGGCCCUGCCUGCCUGGUGAAGCCAAGCACCU